UACGUAGGUGACAAGCGUUGUCCGGAUUUACUGGGCGUAAAGAGCGCGCAGGCGGUCGAUCAAGUCGAGUGUGAAAGCCCCCGGCUCAACUGGGGAGGGUCAUUCGAAACUGGUCGACUCGAAGGCAGGAGAGGGUAGUGGAAUUCCCGGCGUAGUGGUGAAAUGCGUAGAUAUCGGGAGGAACACCAGUGGCGAAGGCGACUACCUGGCCUGUUCUUGACGCUGAGGCGCGAAAGCCAGGGGAGCAAACAGG
rnacentral:rRNA from 1 species